CCUACGGGUGGCAGCAGUGAGGAAUAUUGCACAAUGGGGGAAACCCUGAUGCAGCGACGCCGCGUGAGUGAAGAAGUAUCUCGGGACGGUAAGCUCUAUCAGCAGGGAAGAUAAUGACGUUACCUGACCAAGAAGCCCCGGCUAACUACGUGCCAGCAGCCGCGGUAAUAUGUCGGGGGCAAGCGUUAUCCGGAUUUACUGGGUGUACAGGGAGCGUAGACGGCAGCACAAGUCUGUAGUGAAAUCUCGGGGCUUAACCCCGGACCUGCCGUGGAAACCGUGCGGCUUGAGUGCAGGAGAGGUAAGCGGAAUUCCUAGUGUAGCGGUGAAAUGCGUAGAUAUGAGGAGGAACCCCGGUGGCGAAGGCGGCUUACUGGACUGUAACUGACGUUGAGGCUCGAAAGCGUGGGGAGCGAACAGGAUUAGAUACCCCGGUAGUC
rnacentral:rRNA from 1 species